rnacentral:rRNA from 1 species
GUACACUCCUGCGGGAGGCAGCAGUGGGGAAUUUUGAACAAUGGGCGAAAGCCUGAUCCAGCAAUGCCGCGUGAGUGAAGAAGGCCUUCGGGUUGUAAAGCUCUUUUGUCAGGGAAGAAACGGUGAAAGCUAAUAUCUUUUGCUAAUGACGGUACCUGAAGAAUAAGCACCGGCUAACUACGUGCCAGCAGCCGCGGUAAUACGUAGGGUGCAAGCGUUAAUCGGAAUUACUGGGCGUAAAGCGUGCGCAGGCGGUUUUGUAAGUCUGAUGUGAAAUCCCCGGGCUCAACCUGGGAAUUGCAUUGGAGACUGCAAGGCUAGAAUCUGGCAGAGGGGGGUAGAAUUCCACGUGUAGCAGUGAAAUGCGUAGAUAUGUGGAGGAACACCGAUGGCGAAGGCAGCCCCCUGGGUCAAGAUUGACGCUCAUGCACGAAAGCGUGGGGAGCAAACAGGAUUAGAUACCCGGGUAGUCCCAUG